UACGUAGGGGGCGAGCGUUGUCCGGAAUCAUUGGGCGUAAAGCGCGUGUAGGCGGCCCGGUAAGUCCGCUGUGAAAGUCCAAGGCUCAACCUUGGGAUGCGGAUGGAUACUGCCGAGCUCGAGUCCGGAAGAGGCGAGUGGAAUUCCUGGUGUAGCGGUGAAAUGCGCAGAUAUCAGGAGGAACACCAAUGGCGAAGGCAGCUCGCUGGGACGUGACUGACGCUGAGACGCGAAAGCGUGGGGAGCAAACAGG
rnacentral:rRNA from 1 species